rnacentral:rRNA from 1 species
AACGUAGGACGCAAGCGUUAUCCGGAGUUACUGGGCGUAAAGCGCGGGCAGGCGGUCACUCAAGUCUGAUGUGAAAGCCCCGAGCUUAACUUGGGAAUUGCGCUCGAAACUACGUGGCUGGAGUGUGGCAGAGGAAGGUGGAAUUCCACGUGUAGCGGUGAAAUGCGUAGAGAUGUGGAGGAACACCAAUGGCGAAGGCAGCCUUCUGGGCCAACACUGACGCUCAUGCACGAAAGCGUGGGGAGCAAACAGG